CGAUGAACCUCCUUCGGGAGGGGAUUAGUGGCGAACGGGUGAGUAACACGUGGGCAAUCUGCCCUUCACUCUGGGACAAGCCCUGGAAACGGGGUCUAAUACCGGAUACGACUGCGGAAGGCAUCUUCCGCGGUGGAAAGCUCCGGCGGUGAAGGAUGAGCCCGCGGCCUAUCAGCUUGUUGGUGGGGUAAUGGCCUACCAAGGCGACGACGGGUAGCCGGCCUGAGAGGGCGACCGGCCACACUGGGACUGAGACACGGCCCAGACUCCUACGGGAGGCAGCAGUGGGGAAUAUUGCACAAUGGGCGAAAGCCUGAUGCAGCGACGCCGCGUGAGGGAUGACGGCCUUCGGGUUGUAAACCUCUUUCAGCAGGGAAGAAGCGAAAGUGACGGUACCUGCAGAAGAAGCGCCGGCUAACUACGUGCCAGCAGCCGCGGUAAUACGUAGGGCGCAAGCGUUGUCCGGAAUUAUUGGGCGUAAAGAGCUCGUAGGCGGCCAGUCACGUCGGAUGUGAAAGCCCGAGGCUUAACCUCGGGUCUGCAUUCGAUACGGGCUGGCUAGAGUGUGGUAGGGGAGAUCGGAAUUCCUGGUGUAGCGGUGAAAUGCGCAGAUAUCAGGAGGAACACCGGUGGCGAAGGCGGAUCUCUGGGCCAUUACUGACGCUGAGGAGCGAAAGCGUGGGGAGCGAACAGGAUUAGAUACCCUGGUAGUCCACGCCGUAAACGUUGGGAA
rnacentral:rRNA from 1 species